UCUCGCCUUCGGGCGGGGAUCAGUGGCGGACGGCUGAGUAACACGUGGGUGACCUGCCCCGGAGCGGGGGAUAACUGCCCGAAAGGGUGGCUAAUACCGCAGACAUCGCGGAUUCGGUUUCGUGAUUGAACCUUUUGGGUUCUGGGAGGGGCCCGCGGCCGAUUAGCUAGUUGGUGGGGUAACGGCCCACCAAGGCGACGAUCGGUAGCUGGUCUGAGAGGAUGAUCAGCCACACUGGGACUGACACACGGCCCAGACUCCUACGGGAGGCAGCAGUAGGGAAUCUUGCACAAUGGACGAAAGUCUGAUGCAGCGACGCCGCGUGAGUGAUGAAGGCCUUCGGG
rnacentral:rRNA from 1 species